rnacentral:lncRNA from 1 species
UUCAGCUUCAUCUAUUGUUUUAGGUUCUAGAUGUGAAACAAAAGCUAUAUAGUUAUAAGCAUCUCUAAGUGAGGAUCUAGUUUUUACUCCUUAUGUCGGAUCACUAAUUAUUAAUUCUCUAGGGUGAUUAUGGACAUACCUCCAUUCCCUUAGGAGAUUAUCUGUGUCUGGAGGUUGUUCUUAAAUGUUCUGAUCAUUGAAUCUUUCAUCCUCUUAUUUUUCAUCCAUCUAAUCUUUGUUUUGUUCAUUUGACUCAUUGAGGGUAAGCUCUUUCAUUCCAUCUUUUAUGAUAUCUGCAUCAUCAGUACCCUCUCUCUUUCUUGAUGA